CAGUCGCCGCGGGAAUACGAAGGGUGCAAGCGUUACUCGGAAUUACUGGGCGUAAAGCGUGCGUAGGUGGUGGUUUAAGUCCGUUGUGAAAGCCCUGGGCUCAACCUGGGAAUUGCAGUGGAUACUGGGUCACUAGAGUGUGGUAGAGGAUAGUGGAAUUUCCGGUGUAGCAGUGAAAUGCGUAGAGAUCGGGAGGAGCAUCAGUGGCGAAGGCGGCCAUCUGGGACAACACUGACGCUGAGGCACGAAAGCGUGGGGAGCAAACAGGAUUAGAGACCCCGGUAGUCCCUGUCUCUUAUAC
rnacentral:rRNA from 1 species